AUAUUGCGCAAUGGAGGAAACUCUGACGCAGUGACGCCGCGUGCAGGAAGAAGGUUUUCGGAUUGUAAACUGCUUUAGACAGGGAAGAAACAAGACAGUACCUGUAGAAUAAGCUCCGGCUAACUACGUGCCAGCAGCCGCGGUAAUACGUAGGGAGCAAGCGUUAUCCGGAUUUAUUGGGUGUAAAGGGUGCGUAGACGGGAAGGCAAGUUAGUUGUGAAAUCCCUCGGCUUAACUGAGGAACUGCAACUAAAACUAUCUUUCUUGAGUGCUGGAGAGGAAAGUGGAAUUCCUAGUGUAGCGGUGAAAUGCGCAGAUAUUAGGAGGAACACCAGUGGCGAAGGCGACUUUCUGGACAGUAACUGACGUUGAGGCACGAAAGUGUGGGGAGCAAACAGG
rnacentral:rRNA from 1 species